GCAGUUUGUUGUUCUGGAGCAUUCAGGUGUUUGUUAACACAAAGCCAAGGAGGAGAGGUAUCAGCAAUGAUCUUAGAGGCGCAAUUGUAGCUGUCCAUCAACCUAGGGAGGGUUAUAGAGCCAUAACAAUCUGAAGCCCAUCGUUCAUAAGCGAGAAAGAUUAUUCACAGUAGAAAACAUUCAGUUCUCAAUCUUCCCACAAGUAGACGUCCCUGCAAAUUUAGCACAAGGAUCAAGGAGCUACAGUGACCCAGACCUCAGGCUGAGAUUCCAAGAUAGUGUGUCGCUAUGAAUUUUGGGAUACCAUCACUUCCUUCCAGAUAGGAUGGUUUGGUGUAUCUUUUGGAAAAGGAGCCUCCCAUUUCCACUGUGAGCAGCAACUAUAAACUUUUGUGUCUUCAGGAUUACCUUUCCAUCACGGGAUGAAUGAAGUGUGAAAAGCAAUCUGAGAAUCGCCAGGCCACUGAUACACAACUUCUGCGGAUGCAAUUAUGCCAAUGACAGAUCAUUUUCUGACCUUUAUCCUCCAGCCAGUGUUGAUGGCAGUUUGCUACUGUGACAGACUGCUUUUUGUUUUCAUGUAUUUUACAGUUGUGUGACAGCUGAAAACCUGGCUCUUAAAGGCUGAGGUGCUCAUCUGAAAAGACAGCCUGACCUUUUGUGCUGCUCUUUUUCUUUCGCUCUCUAUUUACUUAUGUUGUGUAUGUCCCUGUCAGUGUAACAUUCUCAUUAUUUCUUUACUGCCACUUCUGUCUCUUCCUCUCUCUCUCUUCCUCGGUAUCUUUUGUCCCAUUUCUCUCUUUCUGUCUCCGUAUUACGUGUAUUUCUAUCAGGUAUUUUCCAAAGUCUGUGUCCAGGACCAAACCAGUGUUUUUGUUCUGGCUGAUGCCUUCAUUCAAAGGUUCACGGUCCUGCUUCAGGUAAAUUGCUCCUUCUGACAAACAACCACGAGCGCAGAUACAGACACACACCUUUGAACGUAGUGUUGCAGUCCAGUUUCUCAAUUCUGCAGGUUUGUGCUUUUGAAAUGGAUUCCAUCCAUUUCAUCUUGUUGUCAAGCUGGUUUUGUCACGUGUUGUAUUUUUGCAUGCAUUUGCACAUAUUCCUGUUUACCUGUGCUCAUAUGUUUUUGCUAUUUUGCAAACUGGUGAGCUGUCACCUCUCAUGGAAUACAUAGUCUGUCUCACUUGUGAGGACUUCCUGCAUUAAUUUUUUAAAAUUCCUAUUUCCCUUUUCCCCCUCAAUUAAAAUCAAAAUACAAAAUACAUUUCUCCUAAAAAAAUGAUUGAUUAAUUUGCAGUUCUGUGACAUAAGUACAUUUCACACUGCUUUCCAAAUUGACAUGUCUAUGAACUCCCCAUUCUACUUGUAUAUUUUACUUUCUCACUCUUAUCACUGCUACUGUUGACCAAUUAUCUCUCUGGACUUUGGCUGCAGGUCUACUUUGAUGUUGAUUUCACCUUUUAGAAAACGGGAUGUGACCUUGAAUAUGUUUAUCUUCAGACUUUCUCACUUUUUAUGAUGUGCAUACAUACAUCAUACAUACAUAGCAAAUACUUACUUUUUUGCAGUGCUUUUGUUUUCUAUUCAAUUUUAUUUACAGUACAUACAGCCAAAUGACAACAGUCACCUCAAGUUGCUUUAUAUUGUAAUGUAAAGACCCUACAAAAAUACAGAGAUAACCCAAACAAUCGAACCACCCCCUGUGAGCAAUACUUGGUGACGGUGGGAAGGAAAAAAUCCCUUUUAACGGGAAGAACCUUUCGACAGAA